AGGGAAAGACAGAUAGAUAGAAAGAUGCCAACAGCAAAGGAAGGACAGAGAGCAGAUUCAUUUUCUUCUUUCUUUUUCCUUUUCUUCAGUCCCACAGUAUCCCCUAUUCAUAUACA
rnacentral:ribozyme from 11 species